CUCUCGAACGGAUUAGUGUCUACGUUCCGUCUAUUCUUUGAAGAAUUGUGAGUGUAUUUUUGAAAUAUUGUUAAGAAUAAUUAAGAGUUUGCAUACAUCUUUAAAAAUUAAUCAAUACGAAAAAAGAAUUUUGUGAAAAAUCUUUAUGGAAAAUGUAUAAGAAAUUUUGUGUUUCGAUUUAAAAUAUUCAAAUAAGGAGCUCUCUAAGGAAUAAAAACCACAAAUUACCACAAGCGUUAUCUAUAUCCAUACACGGAAUCAAGACAAAACCAUGGUAAAACUACGUAUUUAUAGAUCACAGUUUGCAAUAAAUGAAGGGAAACAUCGACACGUCUGGGAACACCGAUUUCUACCAAGCGCAGUCUCGAGAGCAGUUGAACUUGACAGGAAAGUAUGAAAUUGGAUCAGUCGCAAACAUCUACGCCACGACAGGAUAUUAACUGGGAUGCAGGCGGGAAACGAGUCGGGGAAAGGUUUUUCUUGCCGCGACAAAGCCGAUAUACACGAACGAGAAAGAUUCUAAAUGAGUUGCCAACCUUUUAUCGCACGAAUUUCUUUCUGCACGUUCUUUUUUUUUCUUUUCCAUUUACCUCCCACUCCUUUCUCUCUUUUUCCUGCAUACGACACACCCUAUAUUUUUUCGUGUCAUCCAAGAAUACCGAAUUUCAAUUCCCGUCGCACGAUAUUCAACUCUUUAACGCGUUGUCAAUUUCCAUGGAAAGAUUCGAAACGCUUUACACUCUCUUAUAUAUAGUUACAUAUAGUUUUUCUUUUUUUAAUUUCGUAUAAAAUUUCUGUAUUUUUAGCAAUUAAUUCCACGAUCCAACGAAUUUUCGUCAAAUAUUUGCAUUCACUUGCAAAGCGAUCGAAUUCAUAAUAUCGUUACCUAUCGGAUUUUCCCGUGAUUUUCCUCUGAUAUGAAAUUUUUACAUGCACUCGUUCCUAUUUUUUUCUCAAAUUUUAACGAAAUACCCUUAUACAAUUUCAAUCCAAUGUUUAAAAAUUCUUUUGCAUGUCGUAGAAAUUUUCUCAGAGAACCGUCUCAUUAACAAUUCUACGUGCAUAUCAUUGAAUUUACAUUGAUAUUUGAAAAUCUUUUCGAAUUUUCAAACAAUUUCAAAUAGAGUUAAUGUUUACUUGCAAAAUUGAUCUUUUUUUUUUUGUAGUUCUCUCUAUGUAUUCUCUGUCGCGAAUAUGGAAAAUAUUUGCACGAUAAUAUUAGCAACGAUGUCACGAACGGAUAACAUAGGUGGUGAUAUAUAAUGUUAACAUUGUUCGUGAUACGUAGGAUACAAUAGGAUUAGAAAUAUCGAUUUUACGGAUAAUAUAACAAAGGGUUGAAACAUACAAAAUAAUCCACUUGAAACACUCUCUAUUGGAUUUGAGCUUUCAAAAAUAUGUCAACAAUGAAUAAUCCGUUUCAAAAAUCGAAUAGAAAAUUAUUCUUGCAAAAUUAUUGAUUUUAUUAAUUUUAUGCAGAAAUUAAAUCUCUUUAAUUCUCUCGAUUAUUACAUAAUUUUUAUAAUAUUCAUCGUGUAUACAUACACUGUAGUUUAAAAUGAUUCUAUUAACCCAACUAUUUCAAUUCUCUGAGUUAUUUAGUUUACUUGGUCCAUCAAGAUUUCAUAAUAUUCACAAUUCAAGAAUAAAUAAACAUUUAAGAUUAAGAAAGUUUAGAAACUUCAUACUUAUUAUCUCCAUGACCAAUCUACAACUACAGUUAUUCAAAACGAACAUUGACAAGGAAAAGUAAUACAAAGUGACUUAACUGAAAUCAUCCAACAAGCUUCAACUGUUGCUUUACCACGAGCUAUCAACUGAUGAACGAUCAUCAAAUGAUCGAAUGACAUAUAUUCGAACAAUCAUCGGCCAUAAUAAAUUUUCAGUAAUUGUGCUAAUGCGAGAUCCAUGUAAAUGCUCGUUCAUCUUCCACAAAGGAACGAGAUACCAGGUCAAUCGUUGGGAUCCAAUGUCUCGGGAGGAUACUGGUGGAGACGAUCUUGCAGUGACAUAUCGGGCCACUGCAGUGUGGUGCAGUGAACGCAUAGAUCAGCGUUGGAGGGCAAUUCCGGAAGAUUCUGGUUGCAAGGGAUUGAAGACGCACCAAUCUGCGAUCGUUACGAGCUUUCCCCUCCAUUUCCAGAAAUCUCCUGAAUUUGUCAAUUAUUGGCAGAUUAAUAGAUACAAUGCAUCUGUAAACACGGUUAAUUGGAGAAUCUUUCCAAGAUGAAAUUGUAAUACUGUCCAAACCGGUAAGAAAUUUUAAGUGAAUUAAAUUUUAUUUAUUAUAAUUAAUUUAUUAAAAUUCCUUGAAUAAAUUACUUCACUUAACUAUUUUACAAUUUGACCAAUAGGAUAAAAUACGCUUUUCUUUUAUUAAAAAAUUAAUAUUAUAA